CCAGAAGAAAUGUCGUAUGCUCCUGCAAUCCUUUCCCUGAAUGCCAAGUUUCCAGGAAACUCACAUGAUGCCUAUGUCAUUAGACAAUCAGGGAUAUGGCAGAGAUUAAGAUCAAGUCAACGACAAGACAUGUGGUUAUUGGGAGACCGUGGAUAUCCUUGCACCCCCUGGCUCAUGACUCCUUACCGUAAGCCCAGGCCAGGACCACAGACGGCAUUUAACUCCACGCUU